rnacentral:rRNA from 1 species
CCUACGGGAGGCUGCAGUGAGGAAUAUUGGUCAAUGGGCGCAAGCCUGAACCAGCCAAGUCGCGUGAGGGAAGACGGCCCUACGGGUUGUAAACCUCUUUUGCCGGGGAGCAAGCCUGAGCACGUGUGCCCAGGCGGAGAGUACCCGGAGAAAAAGCAUCGGCUAACUCCGUGCCAGCAGCCGCGGUAAUACGGGGGAUGCGAGCGUUAUCCGGAUUUAUUGGGUUUAAAGGGUGCGCAGGCGGGCUGUUAAGCCGGCGGUAAAAAUUCAGGGCUCAACCCUGUCGAGCCGUCGGAACUGGGUGCCUUGAGUGGGCGAGAAGUAUGCGGAAUGCGUGGUGUAGCGGUGAAAUGCAUAGAUAUCACGCAGAACCCCGAUUGCGAAGGCAGCAUACCGGCGCCCUACUGACGCUGAGGCACGAAAGUGCGGGUAUCGAACAGGAUUAGAUACCCCUGUAGUC